UGAGAAGUUCCUACAUCAGACACCUGACUAGCUUCCUGUAUUUGGACCAUCUCUCCUUUUACUGCAUUGUCUUAAAUGUUGUUGCUGGCCUUUAUGUUUUGGAAUUACUUCUCUCCGCAGAGAGAUGUGGAAAGAACAGCUGCCAAAGAGCCCCAUCCUUACCAUGUUCCUAAAUAACUUGUGAUGAGCAGGUGUCCUUAUUGAGAUCCUUAGUCACUGUUUCUGUCACAGUUGCUGUAAAUGAGAGUGCUUGAACUGGAAGGCCCAUCUGCUGAAAACAGAGUGGGUGGAUGGCAAAACCACCUUCUGGCCACUCUGUGCUCAUCCCUGCGGCAGCUCUGGGCUGGCUGUGUUGGCUUUGGCGUCAGCGGGAGGUUGUUGAGCACUCUGUGAGAUGCCAGAUCUGAUGGGCAGGGUGGGGCUAAACAGUGCCAGGUGAAAAACAAGGUGAGGGAGGAAGAAGACAAUGGAAGGCGCCGAAAAACUCGUAGGAUGAUGUGGCAUAAGUGACAAGUCACAGGGAAGGAUAGCAGGACUGUUUCAGACAGGCUUGCAGAGUGGCUGCCAGGGCCUUGUAUGAGGUGACAGCUUGCAAGAACCAAGAACUGGUACGUUCCACCCUUCCUUCUUUGGCUUGAUAAGAGGUUGUUGCAUGACAGAAGGAAAAGGUUGAACCUUUGAUUUGUAGAUAGGAAGGUAUAUAAAGGCAUAUAGUAAGAAAGAGGUAGCAAGGAUGCACCAUGAGUGCUUCUUCAUGUGUUUCCAACUAGGUGUCCAAGAGGAGCAGUCUCCCCAGUCUUCUACAUGUAUUUCUAUUUCAUUCAAAGGUACUUGGUGAGUUGGAGGUCUGAUGGGCCAAGUUGAGCUAAGGGGGGAAUUGCCCUCGGGUCUGAAAGCUCAUCCAAAAAACUAUUCCCAGGAAUCUGGCAGAACAAGCAGGAGGAGAACAGAGUUGUUCCUAACAGAACUAACCAGAUGAACAUUCAGGCUCAGAAGGGAGAAGAAAGGGUUGUCCAGUCAUGGAAACAGCCUUUAACAUCGCUGUUUUUCCUAGCAGUGGGAGAGAGCAGGUGGAGGCUGAGGCCCAUGUGCGUGAUGAUACUGUUCAGGGUUAAUCCUGAGACUGACGUUCUUGUGAGAAGCUUGAUUUAUGGGUACCCAGCAAGGGUGGGAGCCGCUGUCUUUCCCUCCAGGCUGGCAUUGUUCGCCUCGUGCUAUGUAUAUAUAACAUGGGCUGGUACUGCCAAGGAAUGCGACAUGUUUUCUCUGGGAUUUCCACAUGGAAUGUCAUGUAUUUCCUUCAAAUCUCCUCUCCCUGAGUGAAACGGAAGUUAAUCUGGAGGACAGGGGAGGUCUUUCCUCUUGGACAUGUAGGCAGGGAGACGCAAUGAGAAUUUCUUUGAUUUAAACCAUUUUCCUUGCUAUGUCUUUGCUUAGAGUCUGCAGUCUGGCAAUGGCCAAAACCAGAUAAAGCCUCUGAUAGUUCUUUAAAUAAAAAACUUAUUCUUUGCACACAGGAAUCAUCUCUUAGCCUGAAUAUGCGGUGCAGUAGCUUACAUGGGAGUGUUUUCAGUGCAGUAAGCAGUCAGCUCUCAAGGCCAGGUGACCAGCACAGUCUCUGCUAGCAUCUUUUUGCAGUAGGACAGAGUGAUGGGAGAGCAGCACCGCUGGGAAUAAAAGAGCAAUGCCAUAAACUUUGCAUAACCAAAUGCCAGCCUCUCAGAAGAGUGUUUAGAGGAAAACCUUUGUUUUCGCUUCAAGAAUAUCAGAUAAUCCCUCCACUUCAGAUUUUUAUAUGCAGGAUCAAAGUAUCCCAAAGUGCUCUAUUUUUAAUUAAAAAAAUAAUACCUGCGGAACUAA